rnacentral:rRNA from 1 species
UACAGAGGGUGCAAGCGUUAAUCGGAAUUACUGGGCAUAAAGCGCGCGUAGGUGGUCUCGCAAGCGAGGGAUGAAAUCCCAUGGCUCACCCAUGGAACUGUCUCUCGGACUGCGAGGCUUGAGGGCGGGAGGGAGAGUGGAAUUCCCGGUGUAGCGGUGAAAUGCGUAGAUAUCGGGAGGAACGCCGGUGGCGAAAGCGACUCUCUGGCCCGUUUCUGACACUGAGGCGCGAAAGCUAGGGGAGCAAACAGGAUUAGAAACCCUAGUAGU